rnacentral:rRNA from 1 species
AUGGCGCCCGUACCUCCAGCGUGCACCGUUCGAGAUCGUCACCGAUCACAGGAGCUUGUGUUCCUUGGGCGAUCAGCAGCUCGUCACGGACCUGCAGCGCAAGGCGAUGUCCAAGAUGGUGGGGCUGCAGUUCACGUUCCGCUACAAGAAGGGCACGGACAACGGCGCGGCCGACGCGCUCUCUCGAGUGGGGCACUUGCUGGUCCUCGACGCGCUCUCGGUGUGCCAGCCCCAAUGGCUCCAGGAAGUGGCAAACUCGUAUGA